rnacentral:rRNA from 1 species
GACGAACGCUGGCGGCGUGCUUUACACAUGCAAGUCGAACGGAAAGGCCCUGCUUUUGUGGGGUGCUCGAGUGGCGAACGGGUGAGUAACACGUGAGUAACCUGCCCUUGACUUUGUGAUAACUUCAGGAAACUGGGGCUAAUACCGGAUAGGAGCUCCUGCUGCAUGGUGGGGGUUGGAAAGUUUCGGCGGUUGGGGCUGGACUCGCGGCUUAUCAGCUUGUUGGUGGGGUAGUGGCUUACCAAGGCUUUGACGGGUAGCCGGCCUGAGAGGGUGACCGGCGACAUUGGGACUGAGAUACGGCCCAGACUGCUACGGGAGGCAGCAGUGGGGAAUAUUGCACAAUGGGCGGAAGCCUGAUGAAGCAGCGCCGCGUGCGGGAUGACGGCCUUCGAGUUGUAAACCGCUCUCGCCUGUGACGAAGCGUGAGUGACGGUAAUGGGUAAAGAAGCACCGGCUAACUACGUG